CGUAUAUUUAAGUUGUUGCAGUUAAAAAGCUCGUAGUUGGAUUUUGGUUAAGAGGGCGCGGUCGGCCGUUUGGUCUGUACUGCGUUGUCUUGACUUCCUGAUGAGGACAUGCUCUUGGUUAACGCUGAGACAUGGAGUCAUCGUGGUUACUUUGAAAAAAUUAGAGUGUUCAAAGCGGGCUUACGCUUGAAUAUAUUAGCAUAGAAUAACACUAUAGGACUCCUGUCCUAUCUCGUUGGUCUCGGGAUGGGAGUAAUGAUUAAGAGGAACAGUUGGGGGCAUACGUAUUUCAUUGUCAGAGGUGAAAUUCUUGGAUUUAUGAAAGACGAACUUCUGCGAAAGCAUUUGCCAAGGAUGUUUUCAUUAAUCAAGAACGAAAGUUGGGGGCUCGAAGAUGAUUAGAUACCAUCCUAGUCUCAACCAUAAACGAUGCCGACUAGGGAUUGGUGGAUGUUAAUUGAUGACUUCACCAGCACCUUAUGAGAAAUCAAAGUUUUUGGGUUCCGGGGGGAGUAUGGUCGCAAGGCUGAAACUUAAAGGAAUU
rnacentral:rRNA from 1 species